rnacentral:rRNA from 1 species
CUUGUACACACCGCCCGUCACACCAUGGGAGUGGGUUUCACCAGAAGUAGGUAGCUUAACCUUCGGGAGGGCGCUUACCGCGGUGAGAUUCAUGACUGGGGUG